UAGCCAUGCAUGUCUAAGUAUAAGCAACCAUACUGUGAAACUGCGAAUGGCUCAUUAAAUCAGUUAUCGUUUAUUUGAUAGUACCUUUUACCUGGAUAACCGUGGUAAUUCUAGAGCUAAUACAUGCUAAAAACCUCGACUUCGGAAGGGGUGUAUUUAUUAGAUAAAAAACCAAUGCCCUUUGGGCUCCUUGGUGAUUCAUAAUAACUUAGCGAAUCGCAUGGCCUUGCGCCGGCGAUGGUUCAUUCAAAUUUCUGCCCUAUCAACUUUCGAUUGUAAGAUAGAGGCUUACAAUGGUCGCGACGGGUGACGGAGAAUUAGGGUUCGAUUCCGGAGAGGGAGCCUGAGAAACGGCUACCACAUCCAAGGAAGGCAGCAGGCGCGCAAAUUACCCAAUCCCGAUACGGGGAGGUAGUGACAAUAAAUACUGAUACGGGGCUCUUUCGGGUCUCGUAAUUGGAAUGAGUACAAUCUAAAUCCCUUAACGAGGAACAAUUGGAGGGCGAGUCUGGUGCCAGCAGCCGCGGUAAUUCCAGCUCCAAUAGCGUAUAUUAAAGUUGUUGCCGUUAAAAAGCUCGUAGUUGAACCUUGGACCUGGCUGAUCUGUCCUCCUCAUCGAGCGCACGGAUUCGGUCGGGUCUUUCCUUCUGGGGAGCCCUAUGCCCUUCACUGGGUGUAGUGGGGAACCAGGACUUUUACCUUGAAAAAAUUAGAGUGUUCAAAGCAGGCCUUUGCUCGGAUACAUUAGCAUGGAAUAAUAGAAUAGGACAUCGGUUCUAUUUUGUUGGUUUCUAGGACCGCUGUAAUGAUUAAUAGGGAUAGUCGGGGGCGUCAGUAUUCAAUUGUCAGAGGUGAAAUUCUUGGAUUUAUUGAAGACUAACUACUGCGAAAGCAUUCGCCAAGGAUGUUUUCAU
rnacentral:rRNA from 1 species